GACGAACGCUGGCGGCGUGCUUAACACAUGCAAGUCGAACGGAAAGGCUCCAGCUUGCUGGAGUACUCGAGUGGCGAACGGGUGAGUAACACGUGGGUAAUCUGCCCUGCACUCUGGGAUAAGCCUGGGAAACUGGGUCUAAUACUGGAUAUGACCUUUCUCCUUAUGGGGUUUGGUGGAAAGUUUUUCGGUGUAGGAUGAGCCCGCGGCCUAUCAGCUUGUUGGUGGGGUGAUGGCCUACCAAGGCGACGACGGGUAGCCGGCCUGAGAGGGUGAUCGGCCACAUUGGGACUGAGAGACGGCCCAGACUCCUACGGGAGGCAGCAGUGGGGAAUAUUGCGCAAUGGGCGGAAGCCUGAUGCAGCGACGCCGCGUGAGGGAUGACGGCCUUCGGGUUGUAAACCUCUUUCAGCAGGGACGAAGCGUAAGUGACGGUACCUGCAGAAGAAGCACCGGCUAACUAUGUG
rnacentral:rRNA from 1 species